GAUUUUGCCGCCAUCCUCACAACGGGGUAAGUUGGCUCCGAUAGGUCAAAUUCAGCAACGCUAUUCGCGUAGCUGAAUUUGCGUAUCUUAAAUCGACCCCCCGCUGUAGUGAAGACCUGCCCUGAGACAGGCUGAUGCAAACGGGUAUAUGUUUUCCUUUCAAAUACUAAGAAACACAAGAGCUGCACUAUGUGUCACAGGAUUACUUUUUUUUUUUUCAAAUGGAACAAUAAUCUUGCAGGGAUUGUCCAAAAUCCAUGCAGAGUCCCCAAUGCAGAAGCUUUCAGUGGGAACUUAACAUUAGCAGAUCUAUUUUUACAAACACGUGUUGCUGGCCAGCUGCCUACAUAAAGAUGUCUGCAGAAUGCCAAUUGUUCCUAUCAAAAGUGUGGAAAAAACUGUGCUUUUGCAACAACUUUAAUGGGAGAAAUUAAAUGGGCAUACUGUGUUGUGUUAUGAACUGAAUGCUUCUUUUUGUCCAAAUCACGUCCCCUCGUGGGACCCUCCACUCUCUGAAAAGCAGCAGGCUUCAGGAUCAAGAGUUAAGCUUGUCUGGGAAUAUGAUGAAAGAAUAUCAAGAGCACCAGUUAAGCAUUUUAGCAGCCAACAGACCUCUCUUAAAUCAGUCUUCAUAGAUAAGCUCAGCUGCAUGCGUGCAUUUGACAGUAUAACUCUGCACUAGGACUAGAAUACCAGGAUGUUUCUCUUAAAAGUGGACAAAUCUCUUUGACUAACUCCAUCCUUCUUCUAAUUGGAGCUUUUAUUUGUGUCUGGAUUGUCAUCUGGGGAGAGUGAAGAAUCUCCUUCGAUUUUGCUUUCGGAGUAUUUUGACUUGUGUGAAACUGACAAGCCAGAAAGUGGGAAAGUUAGAGACAAAGGAGAAGUGAGGGGUCCCAGAAAGAGGGCUGAGAGAAGGAAAUCAGAGAUCUCUAUUGCCUAGAGGAACAGAAAAAUCCCCAAGGAAGAAAACAAAAAGAGAUUGAAGAGAAAUAACAAGGUUAAAUAAGAUUUAAAGGACAUCCUAGGCCAAUUUCUAGAUGUUGGACUUUCAAAGGAUGUUCAAAUUCUGCAUUUGGAUCCUCGCAUUGGCACUUGGGUGCCUAAAAAGGGCAUUUGUGUGUCCGUCUGAGCAGUGGGAUUUUCACAUCCCAGUAAGGCUGCCUGCAACAACAUUGUCUCUUCCAGAGCGGUCCCUCAUGGCCAGAGUUCUCUUUGCAGCAAUCUCCCUCUAUUCUUCCUCUUCCGGGCCCUUACAGAUUCCCCAGAGCCUUUCUUAUACAUCCCUCCGGCCUCCACUUGGGGCUGGCUUCAUGCCCGCAAACAGUGCCAAACAGUCCCACCAGUAAAGUCCAUCACUGCAAUCCAAAGGCUCAUACGCCACCUCUGGCUCUCCUGCCAUCUCCAUAGAGCUCUUCCCUGCCACAGCCUGCUCAUCACAGGGGUCACCUUUCAUAGCUGCUGUUUAGCCUCCUGGCUCUAGCUGCCUGCUCUUGCCAGUGUCUCCCAUGUUCUGAGGGCGAGGGCGGUCUGCGUACUGCCCCUCUCCAGGCUGGCUGGAAUAGAGGGGAGCCCUGACCCAUCCUAAACCACAGGGCUUCCAAUCCUGGGCCCUUAAAGAAACAGCAUCCUGAGGUUUCCCCCCAGCCAACUCCUAAUUCCCUAACUCCUUCUUCUCUUCCAUUACCAGGCCAUUUCCUGGGCCUUUGUUCAUUCCAACUCCCUGGAGCUGGGUCUUCUGGCCCCCUCUACUCUUUAAAGGCUAAUAUACCUUGUUACAGGUCCACAUUUAAAAACUGGGCUAGGUUAGGGUAACGUGGGCCGUGGAUCUAAAUGCAAAAGAAAGACCAUCAAACACACAAGGAGAGAGAUGUUUUGUACGAAAAGGGGGCUGAGGAGAGUGGAGGACGGAGUGCUCGGGUGCGCCUUUGAUCAGGAAUAAAAGCGUCUGCUUCAAGGCAACGUUAUUUCACUCUAAGGCAACAUAGGCCAAAUUCAUCCCACACCAAAUUGGUGACUCUGCUGGAUUCAGUACAGCUACGGGGAUAAACCGGGUCUAAUACUAGAAAAAGCUCCUCCUUCACCUGCCUGAAUUCAAGGUCCUUGUGUUUCCCCUUCAAAUCCAAGGACAGUACUAACACCUCUCCCACAGAACAAGGAGUGCGGCGGAACGUCCUGCUCCUAGUGCUUGCCAGUGAUGUAUUCAGCUCUUGAAGAGGGGACACAGAAAUGUGGACUCAGGUCUUGGCAAUCACCAAAUGUGAAGGAGGAACUAAUUUCUCAAACACUGGCCUGAAUCCUAAACUCCUAAGCGAGGCCAAACUCCAGAUGAAGCCAAAGGGAGUUCGACCUGAGUGAGGACUUUAGGAUUUGGCCCACUGUGUUUUAAAGCGCGCGCACACACACACACACACACACACACACACACACACUAUUUCUUUUUGAAAUCCACAAUUUUAUUCCAUUACUGGGACCACGGUGCUGCACUCCCAUCCCCUGUCUUUCAACGGUUACUGAUGAAAGUCUUUUUUGCUCACCUUAGAGUGCAAGACGAAUAACUGUAGCCAAGCUGGUUGCAUGUCUCAAAACAAAAACUGAAUUUGUAAGUGCUAGGGAAUGACUGCAGUGUGGGAAGGGAGAGGUAAUUGACAUUCCCUUGGGUAAACCUCUUUAAAAAUUCCGGACCUGGUUCCUUUGGAUUUAUUGUCAGGAGGCACAGAAUAUGAUAAUGCUUAUUAAAAAAAAACCCCAAACCAAUCGACAACAAAAAACAUAAGUUCAACUCCCCAGUGUCUCUGAAGGCUGAGAAAGGCAGAAGACACAGUGACCAUGACCUUAGUUUGAUCUUCAAACUAUUCAGUAAAAAAUGCUAGAUUAGUGCACAAAGCUAAAUGAGAACGCAAAAGGCCAAUAAAGGGCUUCUAAAUGGUCCUGAAAUAAACAAACAGUCUAAUUAGUGAGCCCAGGAAUCCCUCACACAGAAAGGGCUAAAUAUGCAAAUGAGGUCUAAGAGAGAAGAUUAGCAUUCUACAAACUAGACGAAGUGCAUACGCGCAUAGGAUAGCGCAUUUCUUUAUGAUCUGAUGCUGCCACACGUCUCCCCGAGACUCUGCAGUAAGGCUCCAUUACCUGUGGGAGGAGGGGGGGUGCAGUAGUACAGAGCUGAUUAACUGCCGACUCCCCUGGGCUUGCCAAGAUUUCCAGAGAAGUCAUUAAUAGAAUUUGCGUGGCACCCCACUCCACAUAAUGUUGAGAGAAGAUAGCCUCGAGAGGUAUCCUUCCCACUCUCCCAGCACACGCUGUAUGUCUAUACACACUGCUGCAUAUACGCUAGAGACACAUUAUACACACCAUAGACUUGAUUAACCCCUGCUGUCACAAGAGGACAUGCAAGGAAUGACACUUUGUUAUUUGCCACCGUCCUCUUCCUGGCUUCUGUCUGAAAUGGGCAGCUUUGGGUUCCAGCCAGGGCCCCACCAGCAGAAGCCAAUUGCGGGAAAGUAAAUUCCUAUCACUUAUCCCAGCCCUUCACUGUUGCUGCUGACAACAGGUUAGUCUUUCUGAAAGCAGAACUUAUUUCUGGACACAAGUGCUGAGGUUUGGCAAAAUAUUUUUAACGGUGUCGUAUUUAAUCCAGGCAAUUCAGCUUCAGGGCCCUGUGUUUUUGAUUUUACCCUUUGAGAGGCUACAGUGAAGGCUUGGAUAUUAUUUAUUCAUUUAGAUUUACACACACCCUCAAAAAAAAGUAUCGUUCUCGGUGUUCUAGAUGCCCCAGCCAUAACCUAAGACUGCCCCAAAAUGAAUAUCCAAACAAAUACUAUAAUCCAGCAGCAGCAAACCAGCCAACUCAGAAUUUCAAACCCCCUUCUUCCAAUGGUUCCUCACUCUUACCAUUCCUUCCUGUUUCAAAUGCCUGGGGAAGAAGACGGCUUUGCAGUGUGACCUGAAUGUCAUCAGACUGAGGCUAUUUUGGACCCCGGGGAGUCGUAGGGAGUGAAUUGCUUGAGAUCUGCCCUUCGUUAAUUCCACCUCUUUCCUGAAGUGUGGCACCCAGCUGACAAAGCUGUUUCAAAUAGAGGACCCCGAAGAAUGCCUGCGCGUCAUCAUAUAUAAAGAAACUCUGGACCCAUCAGCCUCCCCACGGUUGCAAGGCUGUGACUGCCACUCCUGAGAGGGGUGGAAGAGUGUGUCUCCAGUUGCUAUGGGUACCAACCACCCAUCCCCUAUGUUUCUUUGAGUGCCAGGUAGUUAUUCCAGAAAUAUACAGGCUGUCGCUGCAGUGAACGGUCACCUGGAGAGCCGCAGCUGGUGUAGCUCAGCAUAGCUCUGUGCCUUUCAGUGAUUUACACCAGGUGAGCAUCCGGCUCAUUGUCUCUGACAUGAUUUCGUUACCUUGGUCAUCCCAGAGGUGACAUAAAGAAACUGAUUUGAGCCGCAGCUUCAGAGUCUACUAGAGAUUCAGAGUUCAGUGAAAAAUGCAGUGAGCCUGGAAGCCAGACAUUUAGACUCAAUGUAAUAAUAAUGAUACUUAGCCCUUAUAGCACUAAUGAUGUUUUACAAAUACUGAAUGUUUGUAUGCACUAAUGGCUGGAAGAUUCAUUGCAACUAACUGAAUUUUUUGAAUGAUCGAUUUAAAAAGAGCUCUUAUAAGCUUCCAGCACAUGGCUAGAAUCAAUGGGCCUUAUUCUUGAGAUCGUGCUGAGCACUCCCAGCUCCCCUUGCACGCGGUGCAUCCUGUCGGAUCCCUCGAAGAUGUAAGCAGGCUCUGACUGAGUUCUCCCUCACACACACACACACACACACACACACACACACACACACACACACACACACACACACACACACACACCUCCCUCCCUACUCUACCUAGGUGGUUAGCAAAUAGACCUGCGGUGCCAAAGUGAUCAGUUUUGGCUGGGUUGGGGUUACGAUUCACUUUAGUAUCGAACGCAGGGGUAAGGAAAUGUUGUUAUCCUUCCUGUAGGAGUAAAGGGCAGCAGACCUGUACUUCGCAUGCCCGGAUUGAGAUGGUCACCUUAAACUGAAGCUCACUAGCUAAGCAGAGGGUAGGGAUGCCAAAUCCAACUGAAGCUGAGGGGGGUGAGGACAGGGGUUCCUACUUGGCGGUAUGGCUGCUGUCUAAAGAGUCCCAGAUGCCCUUUGACCCUCCUUUCUCUAGUGUUUAAAGACAGCUGUUUGGACUCAACUGGGAGUCUUUGUUUCUGCCCAGUGAUGACUAGAGCUGAGCUCACUGAUGAGAAGGUUUAGGGCUAAGCCUUAGACCUAGGAUGAGAACAGCGCUGCAGUGAAAGACAGCACAGAGUUUCCCUGCUACCCUCUGAGGUUACUAAGAACUGGGCUAAGUGGGGGAAGCUCAGAAUGUGGCCUCCCCGAGGUGGCCGCAAGCAGCAGAGAUAACAGUGGCGGAGGUGGCAGUGAGCAGCCAGCGGUGGCAGAGAUAACAGUGGCGAGCAGCGCCAGAGAUAGCAGCGGCAGUGUGUCAGUUGCAGAGGUGGCAGCUGCAGGGGAGGUAUUGCUCGACAUCCUCCCCUCCGGCCCCACUCAGGGGUGGAAGGUGGACCCAUGUGUAUGCACCUCUGAACUCUGGGUCUUCGCUGACCAAGGAGGACCAAUUGUGAGUGGGGUGCAGCAGAGGGGAGGGGGAAAGAGGUGUUAAAAGAACAUUUGUUCAGACUUUCUCACUGCUCAACGUACUGAGGGGUGGGUGCUUGUGUAUAGUCACAUGUUUUGAAAGUGGUUGUGGUGCUUUCCCAACUUAAUGCUGAGUUCCCUUUCCCUUUAUUAUACAGACUCAGUGCUUGUGAGAGGGGAAGUAUUGCCUCUUCGAGGCACCUCGGGGUGGUGUUUAGUUUUCCCAGAUUCCUGGGUGGGGGCUCGAACCGGGUCUGUUUUGUAUUGUUAAGAGGAACCCCCUAGAUAUUCAGCCCACCCUUGUUGUUGCUGAUUCCCCUGGCAGAAAAGUUACAUAUAUAUACAUCACAGUCAGGGCUGGCUCCACGGUUUUGGCCGCCCCAAGCAGCCAAACAACAACAAAAAAAGCCGCGAUCACAAUCUGCGGAGCCAAUUCAGCGGAAGGUCCUUCGCUCCGAGCGGGAGUGAGGGACCGUCUGCCGAAUUGCCGCCGAAUAGCUGGACGUGCCGCCCCUCUCCUUAAUGGCCGCCCCAAGCACCUGCUUGCCAGGCUGGUGCCUGGAGCUGGCCCUGAUCACAGUUAUCGAUACUUGCCACAUCUAAGCACUUGGUACUAUCCUGCCAAGUGCUGUGGAGCAAACUCCUUCCGUGGGAGUCGAGGAUGCGCGGCACCUUACUGGAUGAGGCCCUGUGGCUUAGUGCUGGACACCACGGGUCUACUCUAAUAAACAAGGGAGAAGAAAAUUGUCACAUUCAACAAAGAGCUGGGAUAUAUUGCGGACCUUUCGACCUACAUUCAAAGGCUUGUAUUGGAAGCAGGACUUUAGAGAAACAAUGGCACAUUGUCAAUAGGAUACACCGGACAUUAUUAAUAAACAUUAGGAGGCUUGAUAUGAUCUGGCAGAAGCAAUAUAAUGAAAUCAAGAACUGGAGCUGGACCAGGGGUGGGGUGGAGGAGGAGGAAUCUGAACGAGAUGCUUAAUGACUCACUGGACUGUGAAAUGCAGUGGAGAGCCAGGUUAGAAAGGAAAAUCUUUUAAUGAAUUCAACAUUUGCACCCUUGGAAAGCUUUGCUCGCCAUUCCCCAGAAAUGUUUGACUCAUCUGAAGAUCCUGAUCGUUUGAAAAAAAUAAAUAAACAGUAAGUAAUAAUAGUAAUAAUAUGAAGAUCAGGACCCUUAUAUCCAAUUUAUAUUUAUAAUCCAGCAAAUGCCUCACCUAAAGCCCAAAGAUUUAUGGGUUUGCAUCUAUAAUUAAUAUCUUUCCUUAAGCAAGAAGGGAAGGUUUUUUUCAUACAAAUAAAUCUGGUGCUACAGACCUAGCUUUGGAAGACUAAUAUUUAAAUCCUCAGCAAGACAUGAUUAUUGAAACACACACACACACACACACACACACACUUUUCAGUGGACUGACCUGUGAGGCUUUGAGGAGAAAAAGGAACGGGGGAGGUUUGAUGGGUGUUUGCACUGAACAAUCCUGUUUCCCAGAGAUUCAAUUUACAUCAGGUCUGUUGUUAGCAGCAGGACUUUGACUGGAAGCCAAGGUUUCAUAAAGGGCUUUGAGGAAGAGUUGAUUGAUCUGGUUUUAGAUUCAUGAAGAAAAUAAACAGUUGGGCUGUAAAAGGGUCAAGCAGAAUCAGGGUUAAUGAAGUGACUCGCAGGAGGUCAAAAUUAAAACAAUCUUUCUCUUCUUCUUCCUCUCUCUCUCUUUCUCUUUCUGUCGCCCCCACCCCAUCCCCAACUUAUUCACCAGUAAAAAGUGCCAGAAGAAACCAAAAGUUGUCAGAUCUUUUAUAGUCAGGGGAUCUAGGACUGCGGUCUUAAAGGUAAGAAAAAUUCAUAGAGAGUAGAAGCAUUCCAUCAGCCUUCUUCCCGAACUGAAUUGUCAUACACCGACCCAGCAGGCUGACUCCCUGGCAUGCUUCACUACUGCUGGUCUCUGCCCUGUGGCUAUUGAUUGUAUCCUCACAUUGGGAUCAAGCAAUAUAUGUGACGAGAUCUUUGCAGCUAAGAUUUUAAGGUUGCUCCACCUGCUUUGUGCUGUAAUUCCUGAGCUGAGAACACCCUAUGCCAUUUAUUAAGCAGAUUAACCUAAGCAGAGAACAACUUUUCUGACUUGAGAAGGACUUUAUCAGAACAAUAUCGAUCGUAACUGGAAAAAUACCUCUCCCCCCCCUUAAUUUAGUGCCUGACACAAGAAAAUUUGUCAAGAGCAUAAUCACUUUUAAUCAGGUUUAGUUAGUAAUGAAAGUAAAAGCUUUUACCUGUCUGGAUCCAAAGUGGCAUAGUAAUGAAUAUAUUUGAAUGGAGCCCAGGUAGUCAGUGUGUUUACACUGCACUGAGCUGUACAAUAUCUUCAUUUAACUCCGAUUUUAAUUAUUCAUGUUUAAAUACUGUUCAUCUGAAAAUCCCUUAUGUGCUCAGUAAUAUAAGAGAUUAUCAAAUAUUACAGGCAAACACGGGUUUCCUUUCUAAGGACAAGGCCCAAGCUACUAGGAACAAAGAUGCUUGACAUGCUGAGUGCAUAGAGAUUUUGUAAUAUAGACAGGGCCACAGGGCUGGAAUUACAGUAAUGCCCUCGGCCCAAUCCAGAGGUUCUGCAAAGCUAGAGCAGAAAAUCCAAGCAGGGUAGUCAAAUAUGGGCAUAUGCCACCUUUAUGUCUCCCAACCCCCUGAUCCUGGGACUAGCUGAUCCCUGAUCCUGGGAGCAAACUUGCAUAGUGCCUGCCUGAUCUGUGCCUGGCUUAGGUCAAUGCUAUAAAUUCCACAAUUUCAAGAGUACUUACAACUGAAGAAGGAACCCUUAAUAGAAAACACUGUGUUAAAAGCUGUCGCAAUAGCUAUGUUAUUACCAAGUAUUAAUACUGCUGAACCCCACCCUCACCUCAUGUAGUGUUCAACUUGCUCCUACUUCUUAACAUCUGCAAAGAACACGGGUCACAAGUGCCCAAUGAAAGCUCUGACCUUGAAGGCCUAAAAGGUGGAACAAAGUUCAGGACAAUGGCUCCAGAUGGGGAAAGGCAAAUAGCCCAGCGGUUGAGGAAGUUGAAAACAAUGCAAGAUGCACAUUGCUGUAGCAAAGGUACAACGUUGUCUGUAAUCCCACUUUCAUGCUUAAACAUUUCUGCUGUAAAUAAUUGCUACUAACGUAAGUGAGAUAAGAGAUGGUCUGUCUGCGAGGCCACAAUGGACUGAAUCCUGGUUCAGAUUUGUCUGAAAUGAAAAUGUUAAAAACCAAACAAAGACAAAGUUAAGAAAGGGUUAGGGGGGCAGAGGUCAUUUGUGUAUCGGUUCAAAGGACUCUAUUGUCCAAAGAAAGCCUUGAUAUUAAUUUCCUUACCAAGAGAACUCCAGAAUUAACACUUGUCUCUUUUAGCUUUUGGUGAACAUUAUUCUUGUUCUAGUCAAUAAGCUGUAUGCGUGGAUUGCAAGAGGCAGGAAAGCUGUAUAGGUAUUAACAUGGUUUAAGGAUUUAGGACUUUAAUAAAGGUGGUAAGUAACAGAGCUGUGCGAAAGGGAUCGGCAAAAUGUAAUGUACCUCUCAACACAUGAGAUCCUGCUUAUAGGAAGAUGGCAGUGAGCUAGGUAAAUUUUAUGCCUUUGGUUGAGAUUACUUAUGAAAUAUCUGGGUACUAGUGAAUAACUAGCCUACAUCUUAGCAUAGAAAAUAUAUCCCGUCCUGAUAGGCCAACCAGAAUUGUUCCCUGCAAUAUAUUUUUUAUCCCAUCUGUUUAUAAAUGACUUGAACGAUGGGGUCUUUUCUAGUUGCUGUGUUUUGUUGUUGUUCAUUUUUAAUGUCACUCAUGGUUCAAUUUUCAGCCCUGGACCUCUGUAUUUGCUUACCCACCAGCCACUUUUGCUAACAGAUAAGGCCACUGACGUAUUUGCCAAUGGGGAUUUUGCAUGGUGCAAUUGUGCAUGCAAAACAAGGCAUGUGAAAUCAGCCCUUCUUGAGGCUGGCAGAAAAUUUAGUCUCUUGAGGUUCUGAUCUGUUUUCUCCAAAGAACGGCAAUUCUUCAAGUCACCCCAUUUUUAUCUUCAGCCUGAAAAUUCCACUGCACCAUGUCUUAACAGGCAGUGUCAGUCCCAAUCAUGUUUAGGCUCCUACUUACCUGUUAUGUUCCUGGCAUACACACAGAGAAGUUAGCUUAAAAAUAUAUAUACCCCGUAUAUAAAAUAGUGUUACUGGAAGGGUGCAAUGUAUCACUACUUUUAUUCUUAGAUUCCAGAAUAAUAACCCACAGUAACCAAAAGCCGAGAGAUGGAUAAAGCAGGCUUCUCUCUAAAGCAGAGAGGCACAGCUCACUCCAUCUGGUUCUUUCUAGACUGCUCUGAUCGCACACUUCACUACAGAGCCCCCGAGUCUGCAAGCAGGACCAGGAAGCCCCACCUUCCCACACUCUUAAAGCGAUAGCUUGCAAUUCCAACAUGUUCCUCCAUACACCAUGAUACCAUUGUGUGAUAGUCAUCCAAUCAGCCAGGAAAUCUUCCAGCUGUAAGAAUAGCCUCACAAGUGGCUAGCAGCAAUAUAAAUGGGACGGGACUCCCUUGGGGGUAUUUGAAUUGAGAGUUAAGUGGCCAUCUCUAGUUGUCAUUGAAUGAUACUGCUCGCCUUGUCCAUCAGAUUUUAUAAUGUACAGUGACGUGGAACUUCCUCUUUCCUCAGGGCAGCCUAUGCCCAAGGGCAAAUGUUCAUUCACUUCAUGCAACAUGAUGUAGUGCCGGGAGUGAUGCAGUCCUGUAUAUAUAAGGCAGGAAAAUGUAGUGUCAGCUGAAAAACUUGGAAACAUUGUUCUGUUGUUUCUAAAGGACAUGCAGUUUUCUAAAGUGUCUCUCUCUGUGUUAUUUGGUAUCGCAGGUUGUUACAACAGUACAAGAAGUUUUUCUAUACCAAAGGUAAGAGGUAUGGUAUGAUGUCGUCUUGAACUUGCUGGAGGAAGCCACGUAUCAUAUGUGUGAAGACACCUUUUACAUUGUUAUUUCCUCACAUAUUUACCGUAGGUUACAUAGAUUCAUAGGUCUCUUAUCACCAUAACCUCUUGAUAGUGAGAGGACAGGUAUGACUCAUUCUUCAUGUUCUACAGUCAAACAAUGCAUCAGGGUUUUCAUAAAUACUAUAUAAAAAUUGCAUUGAGAUCAAUAGGCCUCUCCAUAUUUCCUGGUUGGAUGAAUCUGGGAUCACAAGACUUUUUACCCAGCAGUAAAUGCUCUGUAAGGAAUGGUACUGCACUGGCAGAAAGACAGACUGAGAUGACUGAAUGGGGCUUUUCCAUCUCUAACUUCUAUGAUUUUAUGAUUCUGUGAAAUGAAUAUUAUCAUAACACUGACUAACAAAAUCCCAUCAUCAUGAUUUACUAUUAAUUAUCAACAUUAGCCUAUUAUUAAUUAACAUUUGCACCAUCUAUCACCAUCUAGCCAGACUGAUCAUUCACAAGCUUGCACAUAGAUUGUUUGAACAAAAGCUGCAGUACGCCAUAGAAUAUGUUUCACAGUAGGUUUGUCAGAGCCUCAUCUGUAAGCUUUUUACUAAUGCACUUUACAAAGUAUCUUAUUAUACACGGAUGAGGAAUGUGGCUGCAUCCAGUAAUAAUUUCAUUAAUUAUGAAUAAAGCAUUUACAAAUGACACCCUUAUCUAAAAAUGGGGAUGAACUCAUUUUGUUUCAAUGCAGAUGCAAUAUGUCAUUUGUGAUCCCGUAGGAAGCACUGCUGGGAGAGCAGGCCGGCGAAAAGGUCUAGAAGCUGAUGAGAUUUACACCAUUAAAUAAAAACAAACAAAAAGACCUCACUGGAGAAAAGAGCAGAGAAGUAGCAAAUGGCAUCAAAAUGAAACUGACCAAGUUCCAAGCUGGUGAAAGGAGGGAAUGUUUAAAGAUGCCACGGGGCGUUGAAAAGCCCAGCCUGGUCUCAGUCAACGACCUUGGGCUAGGACUGAGGCCAAUAAAGCAGUAUCCUAAGUUGAUGGUAAGCCCAUAUUUUAGCUGGUGUUCUUUCAUUUGCAAGAUAUACAGCUGGCUCACAGCUCACCAAGCCUCAUUAGCCACAUGGUCUUUAUCAUUGCAGUGGUUUGGUACUGUACGCCCUGUAGGAUUCCACUCAAGUGCUGACAAGUUUGUUGAUAUAAAAUACAUCACCAUGGUUGUUUAAGUCCACUAUAAACAUGUCCCUAUUAAUAGCUUAUUUAGUGGAUAGAACUGCGUGAAUACUUCAUAGUAAAAAAUUAAGUUCGCAGGUCAGCCUCAUUGUCAAUUGGUGAAUUGUCUGUUUAUUAUGUUGUAUGUAUUUGUUUUUUGAAAUUGUUCACCAAAUGAUUCCUGAUUUGCCCAUCAUGCACGAGCAAUCUGUUGUGAGCACAGCUGGUCAAACUGUUCAGUCCUAAUACUCAUUCCAUGGCCCAUGUUAUACAGGAGGACGGACUAGAUAAUCUAAUGGUCCAUUCUGGCCUUAAACAUGUGCAGAUCUAUGAAUAUUUAUUAUGGGCAAGCUUUUCAAAAGUCACUAGUGAGCUGGGGUGUGUCGGUUAGUUUGGGUACCCAGCUUCAGACAUGCUUCAAGUGACCUAAUUUUUAGGCUUCUGAAAAGUGUGCCAAAGGGCACCCAAAAAUGUAGGUAGCCAAAAUCAUGAUCGUUUUUGAAAUAUUUUGGGCUAUGAAUUUAGCCCUCUUUUUGCAUAGCAAGAUCUUGGAUAACUGAUCCUGAUUUUAUUCAGAUGCUUUCAUUCGUAAGUAUUUGGAUGAAGAUAUAUAUAAAUGUUUACAAACUGUUAUGCCAACUAUUCAUUACUCCAGCUAGCAAAUAAUGAAUAAUGAUUGAGAUUCAGCGAGGCAGAAGCUGCAGAUGGGAGGAGCUGCAGAGGAGAAGGCUCUUGCACCAGCAAUGAGAAGAUUAUCAGAAGUGACAGAUUUGGAGCACUGGUGCUAUAGCAUGAAGCAAAGAAACACACUAUGUCAUAGAAGAGAUGGAAGAAAAAGCAACCAGACAGAGCGAAAUGAGUCAUAAUGGUAAUGUGGAUCUUCUUUUUCUCAGAGCUCCAUAUCUCAACUGUCUAUGGAGCUAUUUCCUACAUUUAUUUGGUGUCAUUACUGAUGACUGGUUUAGAUUCAACCCUGUUUUUUAAAGGGUUUCCUCUCCCUUCUGGGCAGUUAGCUGCAGAGAGAUUCUAAGGACUAUUUUUUGAAAUGGCCUUCAGUUUACCUUUACAUUUGUCAGGGGCGGCUCCAGGCACCAGCAUAGCAAGCACGUGCCUGGGGCGGCAAGCCGCAGGGGGCGACCUGCCGGUCGCUGUGAGGGCAGUCACCAGGCUGCCUUUGGCGGCAUGCCUGUGGGAGGUCCGCCGGUCCCGCGGCUUCGGCGGUAAUUCGGUGGCGGGGAUGCUGAAGGCGCGGCACCAGCAGACCUCCUGCAGGCAUGCCGCUGAAUCCACGUAGCCAGCGGGCGUGCCACCGAAAGCCACCUGACUGCUGUGCUUGGGGCGGCAAAAACCAUAGAGCCGCCCCGACAUUUGUACACAUACAAUGGACUGUGCCUGCAAAAGUGACAGGACACCCAUUUAGGGUCUCGUUCAACCAGAACUAAGUGCUCGGUUGAACCGGGACCGACUUAAGCAUGUGCUUAGGUGCCUUGCUGUGUUCAGGUUUAAGGGCCUUAUCCUGAGAAAUGCUGAACAGCUGCAAGUCACACCUAGGGUGACCAGACAGCAAGUGUGAAAAAUCGGGACAGGGGGUGAGGGGUAACAGGAGCCUAGAUAAGAAAAAGACCCCAAAAUCAGGACUAUCCCUAUAAAAUUGGGACAUCUGGUUACCCUAGUCCCACCUCUCAAGAUGUGGCUCUGAAUACAUGCAUUCGCAUGUCCGAACAAGGGAAGUAGGUAAUAAACUGCCAGACUCGGGUAUGCGAGAAAUGGACGUCUGCCCACACAUGCAGGUGCCAUCCACUGUAUGUGUAAGCUACUGGAAUGAGCUACAUGUCUCCCUCCAGCCCCCGAGCCCAGUUUGCAGAAGAUACAGCUCUGUUCCAGUAUGAGCUAGAGCUGAGGCUGCUUGUCCUUUUAGUUCUGGAGGUUCCCCAAUUCAGACCCCAGGAUGUUGGCUAAGAUGGUGACCAUCACUCAGACACAAAAGGAGGGGAAUGAACCUUGGAAGCAUGCUUGAAAAGAGUUACAGAUCUAGCCCAAGGAGCUCACUCUUCUUGGAAGCUCAACCUCUCGCCCCCAGAAAAUGUACCUUCAAACGAUUUUGGAGGUAUUUUUAGGCAUGUCCUCUAAUUUUCCCCCUUGCAAAUGCAAUUAGUUGCAUGUGUGUAUCAUCCAAUUGCACAAUUGCAAAUGCCUUUUUGUGCAAUCUUUAUUUGGGGUACAAUAUCAGAAUCUGAGGCUAAAGCAAGCUGAGAUGUUUCCCUGAAGAAAUACUUCAUUCCAAAUGUUGUCUCUGUUUGAAGGGUCGCUUGUGAUGUCAGUUCCCUCAUCCUCUCAAUCUCUCACGUGAAAUAACUGCCCAUUUCUCUCAUCUCUGCUGGAGCCAAACACAGGCAGUGAAGGUGAUCAAAAAAUCAUAGGCUUCAAAGGCAAAUUGAAAGCAUUAUUUUAAACCCUUUGACAAAGCUGACCCAGCCAUUACAGGAAAGUGGUCCUGGAUACCAGAAUAAAUUUCAUUUCCAUACUUGCUGGUUUUGGAACUGAUUUAGCCCAUCUAGACCAAAAAUUAAAUGCAACAUUGGUUUUUGUCCCUUACACUGAAAAGUUAUGAGCAUUACUUACGUGGUUCAUUAAGUUACACUGUACAGAAAUAUUGCCUUAAAUCAAUUAAUUCCUUAAGUAGUGACUCUACUGUAGCUUCUUUCAAAGUCCCUCUCACUCUAUCCAAACUCUGAGAAACCUAGAACAA